AUUCUUGGUCAUUUAGAGGAAGUAAAAGUCGUAACAAGGUUUCCGUAGGUGAACCUGCGGAAGGAUCAUUACAGAAAGUAAACGCGGAUCGAACCGCGAACUUCUAAACCUUUGACGAUUGACUCAUGUUGCCUCGGCGGGUUCUCCCGCCAGAGGAUACAUCAAAACUCCUGUUUUAACGGUGUUGUCUGAGCUACAAGCAACGAAUCAAAACUUUCAACAACGGAUCUCUUGGUUCUGGCAUCGAUGAAGAACGCAGCGAAAUGCGAUAAGUAGUGUGAAUUGCAGAAUUCAGUGAAUCAUCGAAUCUUUGAACGCACAUUGCGCCCCUUGGUAUCCCGAGGGGCAUGCCUGUUCGAGCGUCAUUUCACCACUCAAGCCUGGCUUGGUGUUGGGCGACGUCCCCUUUGGGGACGCGCCUCGAAACGCUCGGCGGCGUGGCACCGGCUUUAAGCGUAGCAGAAUCUUUCGCUUUAAAAGUCGGGGCCCCGUCUGCCGGAAGACCUACUCGCAAGGUUGACCUCGGAUCAGGCAGGGAUACCCGCUGAACUUAAGCAUAUCAAUAAGCGGAGGAAAAGAAACCAACCAAUC
rnacentral:rRNA from 1 species